CCCCCACCGGGACGCGCAGCACAGCCUGACCCCCACCGGGACGCACAGCACAGCCUGACCCCCACCGGGACGCACAGCACAGCCUGACCCCCACCGGGACGCGCAGCACAGCCUGACCCCCACCGGGACGCGCAGCACAGCCUGACCCCCACCGGGACGCGCAGCACAGCCUGACCCCCACCGGACGUGCAGAGCUCCGCAGCGGCGUCUUCCCCGGGCGGGAAUCCCCAACUGCAGGGCUCGAAGCUUUGCAGCUUUUUACAAAUGCUGGCCAAAGCCCGGAGAAUGUGGGAAUGGAGCCAUCUGGUGGACAAAGGAGGGAACUUUGGGAACCCAGCUAAGAAUGCUUCCCCUGGAGGCCGGAAACUUCCUGGCAACCAGAGUAAUUAUGUGAAAUGUAUGUCUUUUUAAAAUAGUUGCGCUGGUGGCGGAGUGGGGGAGCUGGAGAAAUAGCUUAGUGGUUAAGAACAAUAGCUGAUCUUCCGGAAGUCCUGAGUUCAAAUCCCAGCAACGACAUGAUUGCUUUAAAGCGAUCUAGUGCCCUCUUCCCGCCUGCAGGGACACAGGCCGACAAAACCCUGCAUGCAUAAUAAAUUUAAAAACUAAAAUGGUUGGGCUGGCGAGUUGGCUCAUUGGCUCAGUAGUUAAAAGCACUGGCUGCUCUUCCAAAGUACCGGCGUUCAAUUCCCAGCACCCACAUGGCAGCUCAGGCAGUUCCAAGGGAUCUGGCACCCUCACACAGACAUGCAUACAGGCAAAAACACCAGUGCACACA
rnacentral:lncRNA from 1 species